rnacentral:misc_RNA from 1 species
UCUGGGAGCGAGCCUGCUCGCGAUUCAGGCAACUCGGUUUGGCUUUAAAACCGAGGUGAUGCCAUCGCGAGCAGGCUCGCUCCCACA